rnacentral:rRNA from 1 species
GUGAGGAAUAUUGCGCAAUGGAGGCAACUCUGACGCAGCCAUGCCGCGUGCAGGAAGAAGGCGCUACGCGUUGUAAACUGCUUUUAACCGGGAAGAAACCCCAGGACGUGUCCUGGGUUGACGGUACCGGAGGAAUAAGCACCGGCUAACUUCGUGCCAGCAGCCGCGGUAAUACGAAGGGUGCAAGCGUUAUCCGGAUUCAUUGGGUUUAAAGGGUGCGUAGGCGGAGCGUUAAGUCAGUGGUGAAAUCCUGCAGCUUAACUGUAGACUUGCCAUUGAUACUGGCGCUCUUGAGUGUGCUUGAAGUGGGCGGAAUGUGCCGUGUAGCGGUGAAAUGCUUAGAUAUGGCACAGAACACCAAUUGCGAAGGCAGCUCACUAAGGCGAUACUGACGCUGAGGCACGAAAGCGUGGGGAUCGAACAGGAUUAGAAACCCGGGUAGUCC